GAGCCUGCGGCUUAAUUUGACUCAACACGGGAAACCUCACCAGGCCCGGACACCGGAAGGAUUGACAGAUUGAGAGCUCUUUCUUGAUUCGGUGGGUGGUGGUGCAUGGCCGUUCUUAGUUGGUGGAGCGAUUUGUCUGGUUAAUUCCGAUAACGAACGAGACUCUAGCCUGCUAAAUAGGCGUAUUUCGACAUCCCAAAUGCCGGCUGGAGCCGGGUUC
rnacentral:ncRNA from 1 species